rnacentral:misc_RNA from 1 species
AGAACGUUUACGAUAUGGCGCGGGUAAUUCGUGCAUUGUAUUAGAAGUAAAAUUAAUUUAGUGUCGUUUACAUAUUUAAAAAUGUCAGAAUAUCAUCUAGAAAUAGAUGGAAUCGACAUUAAAUUUCCUCAUGUCCCGUAUGAAGUUCAAAAAAUUUAUAUGUCGAAAGUGAUAGAAUGUUUACAAAAGGGUGUGAAUGGUUUAUUGGAAAGCCCAACUGGUACAGGUAAAACAUUAUCAUUGUUGUGCUCUAGCUUAGCAUGGUUGAAGCACAGACAAGCUACCUUGGAGCAAGCAGCAUUUAUGCCAAGUAGUGAUGCCAGAGAUAUUCUGAAUAUAUCACAUUUAUUUAAUACAGAAAACACAGCUACAGUUGGAAGGAAUGGGCCAAAUUUUGCAUUUUUACCCAAAAUCAUAUACAGUUCAAGAACUCAUUCUCAACUCUCACAAGUUGUUCAGGAAUUAAAGAGAUCAUCAUAUAACAAUGUUUCUGCAAUUGUUCUUGGUUCACGUGAUCAGUUAUGUCUACAUCCAGAAGUAUCAAAAUUACACAGCAACUCAGCUAAACUUAAUUCCUGUAAGAACAAAGUAACAAAUCAUACUUGUCCUUUCAAUCUUAAUUUAGAUAACAAACUUGUUUCAAAAGAUUACCAGGAUAAUUCUAUUCUUGAUAUAGAAGACUUAAUUGUAGCAGGAAAGAAAAAUACAUGUUGCCCAUAUUAUGCAGCAAAAUCACUAAAAAGUAGAGCUGAUAUUAUAUUUACUCCUUAUAAUUAUUUGGUUGAUCCAAAAACAAGAAGAACUCAUGGCAUAGAAAUUACUAAAAAUGUUAUUAUAUUUGAUGAAGCACAUAACAUUGAAAAUGUUUGUGAAGAUAGCAUGUCUUUCCAGUUAAGAUCUUCAGAUCUAGCACGUUGCAUCACUGAGAUCACACAAGCAAUUGAAUAUAUUAAAGAUAGAGAAAUUGUUGGGCAAUUUAAUUCUAAUUCGGAGAAUACAGAAUUUACUCUCUCAGAUCUUUCUAUUUUAAAAGUAAUGUUUUGUGAAUUAGAAGAGAAAUUAGACAAAGAAAUCAGUAAUUUAACAGAAGGUAGUGCAAAACCAGCAAGUUUUGUAUUUGAUCUUUUUGCAAGUGUUGGUUUAACUGCACAGAAAAAAGAAGUUGUCUUAGAUUUACUGGAUAAAAUUAUCCUUCAUUUGACCAUGGAAAUAGCAACUUCAUCAUGGGUAACAAAAGGAGCUGGACUUCAAUGUUUUUCAGAUUUGAUAAGAAUCAUGUUUUCAAACUCAGCUGUUCUUAAUCAAAGUUUAGUGAAAAGUUUUAAUGAAAAAUAUAGAGUUUACUUAUCUCCAGAUGAUUCACAAAAUAUUACCACUUUUAAGAAAUCACCAAAAAAAGGGUGGACAUUGUAUUACUGGUGUUUUUCUCCUGAGUUGAGCAUGAUGGAUUUAAUUCAACAAGGUGUUCACAGUCUUAUUCUUACAAGUGGAACUUUAUCUCCACUAAAUUCUUUUGCUGCUGAAUUAGGAAUUUCUUUUCCAGUAACAUUAGAAAAUCCUCAUAUUAUUGAUGAUGAUCAAGUGUUCAUUGGUGUAUUGAAGCAAGGACCUGACGGAACUAAUUUAAAUUCAUCAUAUCAAAAUAGGUCAAAUGUUCAGUACAUAAAUUCUUUAGGAAGAACUUUAAUUAAUUUGGGUCGUAUGGUUCCGGAUGGUAUGCUAGUGUUUUUUCCAUCCUAUUCUGUUUUGCGUUCUUCUGUUGCCAAAUGGGAAGAAUCUGGAAUUUGGAAUAGUUUAUCUACAGUUAAAAGUAUAUUUAUUGAACCACAGGGAAAAAUUGCUUUCCAAGAAGGUAUAACCCAAUAUUAUGAAAAAAUAGAAACUGCAGAUUCUUCAGGUGCAAUUUUAUUUGCUGUUUGUAGAGGAAAGGUUAGUGAAGGGUUAGAUUUUUCAGAUAAAAAUGCAAGAGCUGUUUUUAUUACUGGUUUACCAUUUCCUCCUUGUCAAGAUCCACGAGUUAAAUUAAAAAUGUCAUAUUUAAAUGAGUUUUGUAAAGAGAAGGGGUUAUCAGGUAACGAAUGGUAUUUAUUACAAGCUUCCAGAGUUGUUAAUCAAGCAGUUGGAAGAGUAAUCCGACAUCGAAAUGAUUAUGGAGCAAUACUGUUUUGUGAUAAUAGGUUUUCAGAAAAAAGAAUAUAUUCUCAGUUAUCAAUGUGGUUACAAGGAAGAAUAAAAAUUUUUAAUUCAUUUGGUUCGGCAUUGAAAGAAAUGAGUGGAUUUUUUCGUAAAAUAGAACAAACAUCUUUUACAAAAUUACAGAAUCAAACUGCAAGUUUUAUUUCUUCAUCCAGAAAAAUAGUUGUGACUCCAGUUUGUCAUUCAAAAUCCAAAACAAUUACUGAUAAAAGUGAUAUAUCAAACAACUACAAUAUCAUUCAAGGUUAUCUUCCAGAUAAUGAUACUAAAGAAAAAUUAUCUGAAAGUUCUAAACACAGUAAUAGUAUAUUUGAUGCUCUUGAAAAUAUGGCUGCUUCAUCAUCAUCAAACUUUGAAGAUAAUUUAGAAGUAAAAUCUAAAAAAGAUAAUUCAGUAUAUCAGGAAUCGAAAUGUGAUGAUAUACCAAAAACAUCUGUUAAAAGAAGGAAGAUAAAUGUUGGUUUGCAUGAUAUUAAUGGUAAAAACGAAAGUACAAUAGAUAAAAGGGAAGAUUCUAUGUUGCGAGAAAAAUGGAAAAAUCGUCUGCAAGAAGUGAAGAGAAUAUUAAAUUUUACAAACAGUUACCCCAAGUUUUGCCAAGUUGUGAAAGAAUACAAGAAUGAUAAAAACAUCAGUAAUUUUGCCAAAGACAUUUCCGUUCUUUUCAUCAACAUUCCAGAAAGAGAAAAUUUAUUAAACAUAAUAGUUCCAUUGGUUUCGUGUGAACAGAGAAACGAUUUUAUAAAUUUAUGCAAAACUAAUUUUAAAAUUGAGAGAAAUGACAGUGAUAUGUCUGUUGAAAAUGAUAGUUUAUUACAGCUUACACAUGCGCCUAUUGUGAAAAUAUAGCGACUGUUCCUAUGAUGGCCUUCUGCGGCCACGUUUGCUGUUUUUUAUGUUGGAAAAACAUUCGAAAGAAAAUUCGAUUCUGCCCCAUCUGCAAGUGUACAAAAAUUAAAAAGCGUGACUUGAGACAAUUGUAUUUUAAAUCGUGCGUAAGCUCUGCGUGAAUUUUUUUUUUUUU